AUCAUGGCUCAGAUUGAACGCUGGCGGCAGGCCUAACACAUGCAAGUCGAACGGUAACAGGAAGAAGCUUGCUCUUGCUGACGAGUGGCGGACGGGUGAGUAAUGUCUGGGAAACUGCCUGAUGGAGGGGGAUAACUACUGGAAACGGUAGCUAAUACCGCAUAACGUCGCAAGACCAAAGAGGGGGACCUUCGGGCCUCUUGCCAUCGGAUGUGCCCAGAUGGGAUUAGCUAGUAGGUGGGGUAACGGCUCACCUAGGCGACGAUCCCUAGCUGGUCUGAGAGGAUGACCAGCCACACUGGAACUGAGACACGGUCCAGACUCCUACGGGAGGCAGCAGUGGGGAAUAUUGCACAAUGGGCGCAAGCCUGAUGCAGCCAUGCCGCGUGUAUGAAGAAGGCCUUCGGGUUGUAAAGUACUUUCAGCGGGGAGGAAGGGAGUAAAGUUAAUACCUUUGCUCAUUGACGUUACCCGCAGAAGAAGCACCGGCUAACUCCGUGCCAGCAGCCGC
rnacentral:rRNA from 1 species